GCCAAUCCUAAUCUCCGCCUCUCCUUAAGGUAGUAUACUACAUAGCAUAUAUAGGACUCCAUCCUUUCUCACCUCCAUAUGCUCCAUUGUUUUUAUUGCUUUGAUUCCCCUCUACCUCCUACAAGCAUGCCCAGGACCACUCCAGCUUUAAUGUAGAAAUCAUUUUAGCCAAGUGUGGUGGCACACACCUAUAAUCCCAGCAGUUAGAGAGACUGAGGCAGGAGGAUUGCAAGUUCAAAGCUAGCCUCAGCAACUUAGUGAGGCCCUACCUAAGUAAUGCAGAGUGAGACCCUGACUAGGAAAAAACUUUAAAGGACUAGGGAUAUAGAUUAGUGGUAAAGUGACCCUGGCUUCAACCCCCAGUGUUGAAAAAAGAAGAAGUAGAAGGUCUGUGCCUAUAAUCCCAGCUAUUCUGGAGUCUAAGGAAAGGAAGGAAAAGGGGAGAAAGAUAUCUGACUCCUCCAUGGUAAAAUGAAUGGGCCCCUUUGACAAACUUUAGCUUAGUGUACUACACACAGAAAACAGAAUUUUUAGGCUACAAAUAUCCUUUAGGCUUGGUUUAUCUUGGAACCCGUGCAGAUUUCCAUUUUCAAAAUAAAAAUAAUUUGUUUUCAUUUUUACAAAAUGUCUCUGUAAAAAUUUCAUAGAUAUUUGGUCUGUCAAAGGAGAUACUGAGAUUCGACUUCUUGUGCAAGCAACUUAUUAGCUCUCAGAAGAAACCUGUAAGGGUAUGAAGGAAGUAUGAUGGAGAAGUAAAGAAGCUGAGAAAGUCUAGCCUCAACCUGAUGCAUCCAUCUGCUGAGCAAGAAUGGCCAGCAUUAGUUAAGUUUGUCUCCUUUAGAAAACCAAACUGUCACUCAGAUGUAAUAGCCUCCAUUCUAGACUUGGAGAAACUGAGGACAAGAGUACAAGUAAGCCUAUUUGGCCUUUGCACCAAAACUGUUUUAAUCUUCAUUAUUUAUAGUUAAGAAUGUGAUAUUUUUUUAUCUCCAUCUGCUUGCCUCCUUUAUGUAUCUUUCAAUUACUCUUUUGCCAAGAUUGGGCAAGCUGACACCCUCACAAUCCAACAUACAGCCA
rnacentral:lncRNA from 1 species